UUUAAAAUGAGAGUUUGAUCCUGGCUCAGGAUGAACGCUGGCGGCGUGCCUAAUACAUGCAAGUCGAACGCUUUGUGCUUAAUUGAGAUGACGAGCUUGCUCUGAUUUGAUUUUUUGAUUUCAAAGAGUGGCGAACGGGUGAGUAACACGUGGGUAACCUACCUCUUAGC
rnacentral:rRNA from 1 species